rnacentral:rRNA from 1 species
GAUGAACGCUGGCGGCGUGCCUAAUACAUGCAAGUCGAGCGAACAGACGAGGAGCUUGCUCCUCUGACGUUAGCGGCGGACGGGUGAGUAACACGUGGAUAACCUACCUAUAAGACUGGGAUAACUUCGGGAAACCGGAGCUAAUACCGGAUAACAUGUUGAACCGCAUGGUUCAACAGUGAAAGACGGUCUUGCUGUCACUUAUAGCUGGAUCCGCGCCGCAUUAGCUAGUUGGUAAGGUAACGGCUUACCAAGGCAACGAUGCGUAGCCGACCUGCGAGGGUGGUCGGCCACACUGGAACUGAGACACGGUCCAGACUCCUACGGGAGGCAGCAGUAGGGAAUCUGCCGCAAUGGGCGAGAGCCUUACGGAGCAACGCCGCGUGAGUGAAGAAGGUCUUCGGAUCGUAAAACUCUGUUAUUAGGGAAGAACAAAUGUGUAAGUAACUAUGCACGUCUUGACGGUACCUAGUCAGAAAGCCACGGCUAACUACGUG